rnacentral:rRNA from 1 species
GGUCAAGUGACUAAGUGCAUGUGGUGGAUGCCUUGGCGACAACAGGCGAUGAAGGACGUGAUAGCCUGCGAAAAGCUUCGGGGAGCUGGCAAUAAGCUUUGAUCCGGAGAUAUCCGAAUGGGGAAACCCACCCGCAAGGGUACCCUUGGCUGAAUACAUAGGCCAUGUGGAGCGAACCUGGUGAACUGAAACAUCUAAGUAGCCAGAGGAAAAGAAAUCAACCGAGAUUCCCAAAGUAGUGGCGAGCGAAAUGGGAGUAGCCUGCACGACUAAACCAACUUCUUAGCAAAACGGUCUGGAAAGUCCGGCGAUAGUGGGUGAUAGCCCCGUAUGCGAAAAGAAGUUGGCGGGUCUGAGCGUGCGAAAAGUAGGGCGGGACACGUGGAAUCCUGUCUGAAGAUGGGGGGACCAUCCUCCAAGGCUAAAUACUCGUUGUCGACCGAUAGUGAACCAGUACCGUGAGGGAAAGGCGAAAAGAACCCCGGGAGGGGAGUGAAAUAGAUCCUGAAACCGCAUGCAUACAAACAGUGGGAGCCUCAGCACAAAGCAUCUUCAGGUUCUUUCGAGGAGCGCGCAGCGCGACUCAAAAGAACAAAGAUGAAAUAGGCUUUGUGAUGGCAAAGAACCUGCAGGGUUCUUUGUGCUGGGGUGACUGCGUACCUUUUGUAUAAUGGGUCAGCGACUUACGUUCAGUUGCGAGCUUAACCGAAUAGGGGAGGCGCAGCGAAAGCGAGUCUGAACAGGGCGUUCAGUAGCUGGGCGUAGACCCGAAACCGGAUGAUCUAUCCAUGGCCAGGUUGAAGGUGCGGUAACACGCACUGGAGGACCGAACCCACUAGUGUUGCAAAACUAGGGGAUGAGCUGUGGAUAGGGGUGAAAGGCUAAACAAAUCCGGAGAUAGCUGGUUCUCCUCGAAAACUAUUUAGGUAGUGCCUCGUGUAUCACUCUCGGGGGUAGAGCACUGUAAUCGUUGGGGGGGUCGUCUAGACCUACCCCGCGAUAGCAAACUCCGAAUACCGAGAAGUGCAAGCACGGGAGACAGACAUCGGGUGCUAACGUCCGGUGUCAAGAGGGAAACAACCCAGACCGCCAGCUAAGGUCCCUAAUAUGUGCUAAGUGGUAAACGAAGUGGGAAGGCAUAGACAGCUAGGAAGUUGGCUUAGAAGCAGCCAUCCUUUAAAGAAAGCGUAAUAGCUCACUAGUCGAGUCGUCCUGCGCGGAAGAUGUAACGGGGCUAAGCACAUAACCGAAGCUGCGGAUGCGCGCCUGAUUUAAGGCGUUUGCUGAAGCAGAGUAAGGAUCUCCUGCGGGGGAUCGAGAAAUGUCGUUCAAGGAUUCAUUGGGAAGUGCCCAUGAAGACGUGAGCGAGGCAGACGAUUUAAAUCAGGCGCGCGUGGUAGAGGAGCGUUCCCUAGGCCUGUGAAGGUGUGCUGUGAGGCAUGCUGGAGGUAUGGGAAGUGCGAAUGCUGACAUGAGUAGCGAUAAAACGGGUGAAAAGCCCGUUCGCCGGAAGCCCAAGGUUUCCUGCGCAACGUUCAUCGGCGCAGGGUGAGUCGGCCCCUAAGGCGAGGCAGAGAUGCGUAGCUGAUGGGAAACAGGUGAAUAUUCCUGUACCUUCGUUAAUUGCGAUGGGGGGACGGAGAAAGGUAGGCCAGCCAGGUGUUGGAAGUCCUGGUUUAAGCGUGUAGGCGUGCUCUUUAGGCAAAUCCGGAGAGCUUAGCUGAGGCGUGAUGACGAGGUCCCUCGGGACUGAAGUGGUUGAUCCUAUGCUUCCAAGAAAAGCCUCUAAGCUUCAGAUUAACGAAGACCGUACCGCAAACCGACACAGGUGGGCAGGGUGAGAAUCCUAAGGCGCUUGAGAGAACUCUGGAGAAGGAACUCGGCAAAUUGACACCGUAACUUCGGGAGAAGGUGUGCCCCGGUAGUGUGUAGUCCCUCGCGGGCGAAGCACGAUGGGGUUGCAGUGAAAUGGUGGCUGCGACUGUUUAACAAAAACACAGCUCUCUGCAAACACGAAAGUGGACGUAUAGGGAGUGACGCCUGCCCGGUGCCGGAAGGUUAAGUGAUGGGGUGCAAGCUCUUGAUCGAAGCCCCGGUAAACGGCGGCCGUAACUAUAACGGUCCUAAGGUAGCGAAAUUCCUUGUCGGGUAAGUUCCGACCCGCACGAAUGGCGUAACGAUGGCCACACUGUCUCCUCCAGAGACUCAGCGAAAUUGAAGUGUUUGUGAAGAUGCAAUCUCCCCGCGGCUAGACGGAAAGACCCCAUGAACCUUUACUGCAGCUUUGCAUUGGACUUUGACGGGACAUGUGUAGGAUAGGUGGGAGGCUGUGAAGCGGGAACGCUAGUUCUCGUGGAGCCAACCUUGAAAUACCACCCUUGUGUCGUUGAGGUUCUAACCUGGACCCCUUAUCGGGGUCGGGGACCGUGCAUGGUAGGCAGUUUGACUGGGGCGGUCUCCUCCCAAAAGGUAACGGAGGAGCACGAAGGUUGGCUAGACACGGUCGGAAAUCGUGUUGAUAGUGCAAGGGCAUAAGCCAGCUUAACUGCGAGACGGACAUGUCGAGCAGAUGCGAAAGCAGGUCCUAGUGAUCCGGUGGUUCUGAAUGGAAGGGCCAUCGCUCAACGGAUAAAAGGUACUCUGGGGAUAACAGGCUGAUUCCGCCCAAGAGUUCACAUCGACGGCGGAGUUUGGCACCUCGAUGUCGGCUCAUCUCAUCCUGGGGCUGUAGCCGGUCCCAAGGGUAUGGCUGUUCGCCAUUUAAAGAGGUACGUGAGCUGGGUUCAAAACGUCGUGAGACAGUUUGGUCCCUAUCUGCCGUGGGCGCUGGAGAUUUGACGGGGGCUGCUCCUAGUACGAGAGGACCGGAGUGGACGAACCUCUGGUGUACCGGUUAUCACGCCAGUGGUAUUGCCGGGUAGCUAAGUUCGGAAGAGAUAAACGCUGAAAGCAUCUAAGCGUGAAACUUGCCUGAAGAUGAGAUCUCCCGGGGACUUGAUCCCCUUGAAGGGUCGUUGAAGACCACAACGUUGAUAGGCUGGGUGUGGAAGCGCAGUAAUGCGUUAAGCUAACCAGUACUAAUUGCCCGUAAGGCUUGACCCU